CAUCAGGCUUGCGUAACUCGCCCGGCCCAUAAUGCAUCGCAUGUACUUCCCGUGUGUCAGCGCGACGCUGGAGAGAGAGAUGUGUGAGAGCCCCAGAUGGACAGAGGAAGCGCUUCAGUGAUACCCUCAAGGCCUCAGUGGCGAAGUAUGGCAUUCCCACAGACACCUGGGAAUCAGUGGCCCAAGAUAGUCAAAAGUGAGGGAGGAGCAUCUGGGAAGGUGUUGAGCACCUUGAGACAUGCCUUCAGGAAAAAAUGGAAGCCAGGUGAAAACAGCGAAAGAAGCGCGCUGCCACACCAAUGCCCCACCCACCCCUUUCUUUGACCACCACCUGCCCCAAGUGGAACAGAGCCUAUGGUAGCCGCUUUGGAGCGUAUAGCCACCUACGGACUCACCCUGAGAACGGAAGAGAGUCAUUCUCAUCUGCGAGUGACUGCCAAUGAUAAUGAUGAUGAUGUAGAUUUUAGUACUUCAGCAGCAUGUGACUCUGCUUAGCCUCAUAUGACAAUGAAAUGCAUCAUGGGAUUUCACGGAGCUACAUUGCAGGAUCUUUCAACUUUCAUCCUCCAAUGUUGAACAUGAUCAUAUCUCAGCUUGUUGAAUUCUUAUCAAAAUAUCUGGUGUUAUCAAUAAAAAAAUGUUAAAAGGGAUUUAUUGUGGGAGGAGAGGAAGGAAAGAAUUAAACAGUUGUGUUCGACAUUAACUUUGUUUUAAUUUGUAAUGUUUUAGAACAUGAACAAUUCCAUUUGGCUGAAUGUAAUUUAGUAUUUUUGUAUCUUUUUAUUAGUUAACCUUAUACAACAUGUGUUUAGGUUUGUAACUCUAUGGUACUUUAGACUUCUAUCACACAAGAUUAUUUAGUGACUAAAUAAACAAGGAUAUUUCUCUACCA